GUUUGGUCCUAGCCUUGGAGUCAAUUCUUAUUUAAUAUACACAUGCAAGUAUCCGCACCCCAGUGAGAAUGCCCUUAUUUCCCCUCUAGGGAACAGGAGCUGGUAUCAGGCCCAAAAAUUUGCCCAAAACACCUAGUCUCGCCACACCCUCAAGGGUCUUCAGCAGUGAUAAACAUUGAGCAUGAGCGAUAGCUUGACUCAGUUAAACUUAUUUAGAGCCGGCCAAUCUGGUGCCAGCCGCCGCGGUUACACCAUCGUGGCUCAAAUUGACCCCCCUUCGGCGUAAAGCGUGAUUAAAGUUCUCCAAACAACUGGAAUUAAACUAAAACUAAGCUGUGACACGCUUGUUUUUAAGAAAGCCAUAAACGAAAGUUAUUCCAAUUAAUUCAACUUGAACUCACGUCAUCUGAGAAACAAACUGGGAUUAGAUACCCCACUAUGCUCAGUCGUAAACUUUAACUUACUUCCUUCUCGCCAGGGAACUACGAGCUAAGCUUAAAACCCAAAGGACUUGACGGUACCCCAUAUCCCCCUAGAGGAGCCUGUCCUAUAAUCGAUAACCCCCGUUUAACCUCACCAUUUUUAGUUAUUCAGCCUGUAUACCUCCGUCGUCAGCUUACCCCGUGAGCGCUAGUGAGCCAAAUGUUUUUCCAACCACACGUCAGGUCAAGGUGCAACAAAUGAAAUGGGAAGAGAUGGGCUACACUUUCUAUAUUAGACUACACGAAAGACUUUAUGAAACCUAGUCAGAAGGCGGAUUUAGUAGUAAAAUGGAACUAGAGAGUCCUUUUUAACCUGGCACUGGGGUGUGUACACACCGCCCGUCACCCUCCUCAAUGCUAACAAACAGUUUUUAACACCAUUAAGCAACAUAGAAGAGGCAAGUCGUGAACAUGGUAAGUAUACCGGAAGGUGUACUUGGAAA
rnacentral:ncRNA from 1 species